rnacentral:lncRNA from 13 species
ACUUAUACCGAGGAUCUGGGGGUACAGAAGUGGGUUAUUUGUGAUCACUGAGAAGUUUGAAAAAAAGGAGAUUAAUCACACAACUCCACUGCAGUAGAGUAAGUGUUACACUGAGAGCAUGAACGAAGUGCUCUGGAAGCAUAUAAGAAAGACUGGUGAACUCUAAGAGGGUCUGGGAGGAAAGUUAGGAAUACAGAAUCAGGGGAAAGGGAAUAGAAGUCAGAACUAGAAAUGAGGUUGAUCUUCAUUAUUUGUUAAUUCCAUAUUUGUGAAUUUGCCUACUCAUUAAAAUUUAUGUGUAAGCCCAAAGUCAAUACUUUUGAAAAUGUCAUCGACAUUUGAAGAAAUGUGCAGAAGGAAAAGGAGUUGAGAUUCCCGACAUGCAUCGUCCUCACUGAAGUCAGACAAAAC